UACGUAGGGUGCAAGCGUUAUCCGGAAUUAUUGGGCGUAAAGAGCUCGUAGGCGGUUUGUCGCGUCUGCUGUGAAAACUGGAGGCUCAACCUCCAGCCUGCAGUGGGUACGGGCAGACUAGAGUGCGGUAGGGGAGAUUGGAAUUCCUGGUGUAGCGGUGGAAUGCGCAGAUAUCAGGAGGAACACCGAUGGCGAAGGCAGAUCUCUGGGCCGUAACUGACGCUGAGGCACGAAAGCGUGGGGAGCAAACAGG
rnacentral:rRNA from 1 species